UUUAUUGGAGAGUUUGAUCCUGGCUCAGGAUGAACGCUGGCGGCGUGCCUAAUACAUGCAAGUCGAGCGAAUGGAUUAAGAGCUUGCUCUUAUGAAGUUAGCGGCGGACGGGUGAGUAACACGUGGGUAACCUGCCCAUAAGACUGGGAUAACUCCGGGAAACCGGGGCUAAUACCGGAUAAUAUUUUGGACCUCAUGGUUCAAAAUUGAAAGGCGGCUUCGGCUGUCACUUAUGGAUGGACCCGCGUCGCAUUAGCUAGUUGGUGAGGUAACGGCUCACCAAGGCAACGAUGCGUAGCCGACCUGAGAGGGUGAUCGGCCACACUGGGACUGAGACACGGCCCAGACUCCUACGGGAGGCAGCAGUAGGGAAUCUUCCGCAAUGGACGAAAGUCUGACGGAGCAACGCCGCGUGAGUGAUGAAGGCUUUCGGGUCGUAAAACUCUGUUGUUAGGGAAGAACAAGUGCUAGUUGAAUA
rnacentral:rRNA from 1 species